ACGGGGCUACACACGUGUUACAAUGGCCAGUACAAAGGGCAGCUACCGGGUGACCGGAUGCUAAUCUCUAAAGCUGGUCUCAGUUCGGAUCGAAGUCUGCAACCCGACUUCGUGAAGCUGGAUUCGCUAGUAAUCGCGCAUCAGCCAUGGCGCGGUGAAUACGUUCCCGGGCCUU
rnacentral:rRNA from 1 species